rnacentral:rRNA from 1 species
GGAAUAUUGGGCAAUGGAGGAAACUCUGACCCAGCGACGCCGCGUGCGGGAUGAAGGCCUUCGGGUUGUAAACCGCUUUCAGUAGGGAAGAAGCGAAAGUGACGGUACCUACAGAAGAAGCACCGGCUAACUAUGUGCCAGCAGCCGCGGUAAUACAUAGGGUGCAAGCGUUGUCCGGAAUUAUUGGGCGUAAAGAGCUCGUAGGUGGUUCGUUACGUCGGAUGUGAAAAUCUGGGGCUCAACCCCAGACCUGCAUCCGAUACGGGCGAGCUAGAGUUUGGUAGGGGAGACUGGAAUUCCUGGUGUAGCGGUGGAAUGCGCAGAUAUCAGGAGGAACACCAAUGGCGAAGGCAGGUCUCUGGGCCAAUACUGACACUGAGGAGCGAAAGCGUGGGGAGCGAACAGGAUUAGAUACCCUGGUAGUCCACGCCGUAAACGGUGGGCGCUAGUUGUGGGAACCUUCCACGGUUUCUGCGACGCAGCUAACGCAUUAAGCGCCCCGCCUGGGGAGUACGAUCGCAAGAUUAAAACUCAAAGGAAUUGACGG